rnacentral:lncRNA from 1 species
CCCGUACACAGUUGUAUAUCUUAGUUGCAUGUCCUUCUAGUUGUGGGAUGUGGGAUGCCACCUCAACGUGGCCUGAUGAGCGGUGCCAUGUCCGCGCCCAGGAUCCAAACCCUGGGCCGCCGCAGCGGAGUGCGUGAACUUAACCACUCGGCCACGGAGCCGGCCCCUCUUUUUUUUUUUAAAGAUUUUAUUCUUUUCCUUUUUCUCCCCAAAGCCCCCUGGCACAUAGUUGUAUAUUCUUUGUUGUGGGUCCUUCUAGUUGUGGCAUGUGGGAUGCCACCUCAGCAUGGCUUGAUGAGCGGUGCCAUGUCCACGAUCAGGAUUUGAACUAGCGAAACCCUGGGCUGCCACAGCGGAGUGUGAGAACUUAACCACUCAGCCACGGGGCCGGCCCCAGGAAUUCUUGUUUAUGUUACCUUCAAUGUAUAAUCUAGAGAAAAACCAGAUGUACACAGUUCUUCUUUUUCUGACAUAUUUGAAAACUACUUGUAAGUUUUUUUUCUCUUUUCCUCUUCCCUGCACAUACACUGUUUUGUGAAAGAGAGAUGAGCUGCACUUAAACUCACACACCUCGGAGCAGUUCCUCAGAGCCCUCUGUUGAACUGUUUUCCUGGGGUUCAAACUCCUCACGCAGAUUACUGAAUAAACUCCUUCACAAACAUCACCUAGACACUAUUUCAGUGGACAGAGGACACAGUUGUGACCUUCACCAGGAAGGAGUGGUGGUGGCUGGAGGCUGCCCAGGGGGACCCUGUCCUGGGAGGUGAGUCUGGAGAGGCCAUGUAGGUAUUUGCUUUAUGAUUAUUUAUUAACACCCUGGAUCAGGGGCCCUGCGCUGCUGGGGGAGACCGGGCCCUCCCUCCCAGAGUCGUGGCUAGGGGCCUGAGGCAUGGGGGCUCAGCCAAUCUUGGUUGCUGGGCUAGGCCUGAGUCCCUGCAUGGCCUGAGAGCCAAACAUGAGAGCCACUGGAAUCCUUUUCUCCAUGGCUGAAAGCGCAGCCUCUGUCAUGAAUUCAUGGAUCCAUCUGUAACCAUGUGCUGUGAACCAGCAAGUUUUACUGUGACCUUUCCCUUUUUCUAAUUUAUUUUUUAUUUUAUUUUAUUUUUUGAAGAAGAUUAACUCUGCACUAACAUCUGCUGCCAAGCCUCCUCUUUUUUUUUUUUGCUGAGGAAGACUGGCCCUGAGCUACCAUCCAUGCCCAUCUUCCUCUACUUUAUAUGUGGGACGCCUAUCACAGCAUGGCUUGACAAGUGGUGCAUAAUUCUGCACCCAGGAUCCGAACCAGCGAACCCUGGGCUGCCGAAGUGGAAUGUGUGAACUUAAACACUACACCACUGGGCCAGCCCAUCCUAUUUUUUAGAUAAGAAAAUUGAGGUUCAAGAAGGUUGAAUUGUUCAUUGUGCAGAAUUAAUGCAGCAGGCCUGAAACUUAGAGGGGCUAGCUUGCACGUUGGCCCUUGGCUCGCUUAGAUUUUGGGAGGGUUCCCAUUAUUCCUGAACACUUAGCAGCUCACUGAGCCCAAACUGUUUGUGCAAACAUAGCUUAUGUCGAACACCUGAUUCCUUCUGGGAGUGGGGGAUUUUUGGUCUCUGCCAGGCAGUGAGUGCCUACGUGACGAGCUUACGAUAAAAACCCUGGUGCUGCGUCUCUCAGGAGCUUCCCUGCUGGACAACAUUUCACAUAAGUUUUCACAACUCAUUGCUGGAGGGAUUAAAUGUGCUCUGCGCAGCUGCACUGGGAAAGAACUCUGGAAAUUCAUGCCUAGAUUCCCCUGGACUUCGCCUCAUGUACAUUUUCCCUCUGCUGAAUUUUCUCUGUCCUUUCACUGUAGUAAAUCAAAGCCGUGUGGACGACUCUAUGCUGAGUCCUGGGAGCAGUCCUCAUGAAUCACCAAACCUGGGGUUGUCUCAGGGGCCCCAACACACUCACCCUGGAUCACACAGCUUGUCAGUGGCAGGGCAGGGACACAAGUCAGAACUUCCAUCUCUGAUUUCUCAGAACACCUAGAGGGGAGGUUUGCAGAGUCUGAGAGGAGACUUCAAGCUGGAGGGAAACCUGACAGGCAAGGCCCUUAUGAAGACAAAUGAGAACAUGGGCCCCAUUCCCAGGGAGCCCCUAAUCCAACUGGAUCAGGGAGGAAGACCCAGGAGGAAGGAAGACCAGGGUCUUCUCAGAGGUGGCAGCAAGUGUGGGUGACCCUGAGGUCCCAGCUAACCCUUGAGAGCCUGGCCUUCGUGGGGGCAUUUUCCUAGUUUACUUCCACAUCUUGAGCUCAGUCACUUAGAUCUACCGGUCACGGGUGAGCAGAUGGCAACGCACACGGGAUUAGGGACACUGAGCAGAGGGGCCUGACAGUGGUCAGGCCAAUGGCCACUCCCCUCCCAAUUCUGUAGAUGAUGCUGCAGAGGAGCAUUUAUUUAAAACACAGAGAGGGGACAGCCCAGUGCCACAGCGGUUAAGUGUGCAUGUUCCGAUUCUCGGCAGCCCGGUGUUUGCCAGUUCGGAUCCUGGGUGCGGACAUGGCACCGCUUGGCAAAAGCCAUGCUAUGGUAGGCGUCCCACGUAUAAAGUAGAGGAAGAUGGGCACGGAUGUUAGCUCAGGGCCAGUCUUCCUCAGCAAAAAUAGGAGGAUUGGCAGUAGUUAGCUCAGGGCUAAUCUUCCUCAAAAAAAAAAAAUUUAAAAAAUAAAACAGACACAGUCUAAAGAAAUACUGUGUUCGUGUUAAUAGACAAUCAUAAAGCAAAUACCCAUGGCCACCUGCCAGGUUAAGACAGAACAGGGCCUCCUCCUGCCACUGCCCCAACAGCCCAGCCUUCUCUGCUCAGGAAACGAGCUCCAGACUUCUGUGAUUGUAUGAGAGCUCUCCAGAGACACAACCAAUAGCUUAUACAUAAAAGGAGAUUGAUUUGGAGGAAUUGGCUCGCAUGAUUAUGGAGGAUGAGAAGUCCCAUGAUCUGCCAUCUGCCAGCUGGAGACCCAGGAAAGCUGGUGGUAUAACUCAGUGUGAGUCUGAAGGCUGAGAACCAGGGCAGAGGAUGGGGCAAAUCCCAGUGCAAGGGCAGGAGAAGAGGAGACGUCCCAGCUUAAGCUGUGAGGCAGGGGAGAAGGAGCAAAUUCUUCCUUUCAAGGCCUUUGGUUCUAUUUAGGCCCUUAAUGGAUUGGAUGAUGCCCACCCACAUUGGGGAGGGCAAUUUGCUUGACAAUUUGGGUCCACUGAUUGAAAUCCUAAUCUCACCUGGAAACAGCCUCACAGACACACCCAGAGACAGAAAUAAUGUCUUACCUGGGCACCCUGUGGCUCAUUGAUAACCAUGUCCUUCCUUUCCUUUAUAGGAAGCCAAACCACAUGGUUUGCUUCUGCUUCUUUUUGAACUUCAUGUAAAUACAAUCAUAGUUGAUGCUUUCUUUUGUUAAGAUUUUUACUUUUUUUCCUUUUUCUCCCCAAAGCCCCCCGGUACAUAGUUGUAUAUUCUUCGUUGUGGGUCCUUCUAGUUGUGGCAUGUGGGACGCUGCCUCAGUGUGGUUUGAUGAGCAGUGCCAUGUCCGCGCCCAGGAUUGGAAACACUGGGCCGCCUGUGGCGGAGCGCGCAAACUUAACCGCUUGGCCGUGGCGCCAGCCCCGAUGCUUUCUUUUCUCUCUUGCCUGUUUUGCUCAGCAUCAUUUCUGGAGUUUGUCCACGUGGAGCUGGAAUCUGUCCCCUGUGUGGCUAUACAGUGUUCCAUCGUAGGGCUAGCCCAAGCUGGUCCACCCAUUUGGCUGUUGACGGGCAUUUGGGUUGUUUCCCAUUUGGGGCUAUUAUGAACACUUGCCUGCCUCUCCUGGAGCAUGGGUGUUUCUCAAGGGUUGCGUCUAGGAGUAGAGUCCUGGGCCAUUGGCUGUGUCUGUCUUCAGCUUUAUCCACACAGCAAACAGUUUCCAUAGGGGCUGUCCUGUUUUACAUUCCCACCAGGCAUAUGUGAGAGUUCCAGUUGCUCAGCAUCCUCACCCACACUUGGUAUUGUCAAACUUUUAAAUUUUAUACAUUCUGGUCAGUGCCUAGUAGUAUUUUUCCAUUUCAUUGUGGCUUUUAUUUUUAUUUCCAUGAUGACUCAUGAUAGUGAGCUCCUUUUCAUGUGCAUAUUGUCAUCUGGAUUUCCUCUUUUGUAAAAGUCUUGCCCCAUUUUUCUCUUGGGGUACCUGCCUUUUCUCAUGGAUUGGUAGGAAUUAUUAUUUGCUCUGGAUGCUAGCUGUGCAUAUCUUCUCCCUCAUUCUGGCUUGCCUUUCACUCUGUUUACGUUUGAUGAACAGAUGCUCCUAACUCUUGGCACUACAAUUUAUCAAGCUUUCCCUUUAUGCUGAGUGUUAGUCUGACUAGGAAAACUCUUUUCCACCUUGAGAUCAUGAAGGUAGCCUCCUGUGUUGCCAUGAAAGGCCUCAUUGUUUUCCUUUCACACCUAACUCUUUAUGUGGAUGUCCCUUUUAUGAAACAGCUGCUCCUUCCUCAAGCUCUGCAGGGCUUACUCUGGCACAGGACAAGAGUACGCUUGUAGGGGCUGGCCUGGUGGCGUAGCGGUUAAGUUCGCACGUUCAGCUUCUUGGUGGCCCAGGGUUCGCCAGUUUGGAUCCUGGGUGCGGACAUGGCACUGCUCAUCUAAGCCAUGCUGUGACAGGCGUCCCACAUAUAAAGUAGAGGAAGAUGGUAAUAGAUGUUAACUCAGGGCUAGUCUUCUUCAGCAAAAAGAGGAAGAUUGGCAGCAGUUAGCUCAGGGCUAAUCUUCCUCAAAAAAAAAAAAAAAAAAAAAGAGUCCACUUGUGUGAGAGUCCAUGGCUGGGCUCUCUCUUCUGUCAGUUGCAUUGGGUUUCUUCAUCUCUCUGAGUUCUGACGACUGCGUCUUGCUGACAGGCUUGGAAAGAGACUCUGUACCUGGUGGAUGUGGUGAUUAUCUUCUCACACCCUCUCAUGGUCUCCCAAACAAGUAGUGGGUGAACAGCUGGCUCUGCAGGUCAGGGGGCUUUUUGUGCUUCUAGGUCCCAAGGAUGGAGGACAGAAGUGCCGUGUGGACCUGGCUGCCUAUCUCUGAGCCUGCUCGCUCUCCUCAGGCACCUGCCCUGGGCUCCAGGCUUGCAGCACCACCAUCUGCUUCUGGCCUUUUGCAGAGCACCUCUGGACGUCCUCCACAUGCCCUGCUGCUGUUAUGCAGUAGCAGGAAGAAGAGAAGAGAAACAGGAAGACUCUCUUCUCCUGUGGUUUCCCUCUGGUGCCGUCUUCUGACAAAGCUAACGAUGUGCUGACUGCAAGGGAGAAAUGCCUGCAGGGUCCAGCCCACUACCACAGAGCAGGUAACAAGGGUAGACAUGGAACUGAAAGGAAAUAAAUUGAUAACUGAUGCAGUGGGCUUUGGGUUGUUCUCAGAUUUUUCACUUUUAUAUAUAGUUGCUGUAAACAUUUUGCCAUGUCUUUUGGUGCACAUAAGUACUCGUUUCUGUUGGGUGCAUUCCCUGGAGUGGAAUUGCUGAGUCAGAGUGUACAUAUGUUUAGCCUAGUAGAUACUGUCAAAGUUUCCCAAAGUCAUUAUUUGCUCCAUUUCUUUUUUUUUAUAAAAGAUUUUAUUUUUCCUUUUUCUCCCCAAAGCCCCCCAGUACAUAGUUGUAUAUAUUUUAGUUGUGGGUCCUUCUAGCUGUGGUAUGUGGGAUGCCACCUCAGCAUGGCCUGAUGAGUGGUGCCAUGUCCAUGCCCACGAUUUGAACCGCCCAAACCCUGGGCCGCCGAAGCAGAGCACAUGAACUUAACCACUUGCCCACAGGGCCGGCCCCUACUCCAUUUCUUAUUAUAAUAAUUUUAUUGAAAAACUGUCUAUCACAUUUCAUUCAUCACAACCUACAGGCCAGUUUUAUGCUUUGGGCCAUGAACAAUACUAAGCCUAUUAACAAUAUGUGGUUGUGUUAGUUUUCUAUUCUGUGUAACAAAUUAUCACAAACUCAGUGGCUGGAAACCACAGCCAUUUGUUAGCUCACGGUUCUGUAGGUCAGGAGUCUGGGAGACCUCAGCUGGGUUCUCUGCUCAGCAUAUCACAAGGGUGAACUCAAGACUUUGGCAGGGCUGGGCUCUUAUCUGGAAGAUCAGGGAAGAAUCUGCUUCCAUGCUCAUUCAGGUUGUUGGCAGAUUCCAGGUCCUUGUGGUUGUGGGACUGAGGUCUCUGUUCCCUGGCUGGCUGUUGGCCAGGGGUUGUUCUUACCCUCUAGAGGCCGUCUGUGGCUCCCUCCAUCUUCAAAGCCAGCAAUGGUGCAUCAAAUCCCUCUCGUGCAAUUCUUUCUGACUUCCUUUUCUGCAACCAGCCGGAGAAUACACCAAGCUUUGAAAGGGCUUAUGUGAUUAGGCCACCGGGCCAGAUCGUCUCCCUUCUUUUAAGGUCAAUUAUGCCAAAUAACAUAACUUAAUCACAGGAAUGAUAGCUGGUCAUUUUCACAGGUCCCAAUUCCAAACUUCCUCACCAAUGCUUGUUGUUGGGGUUUUAUUUGCUAUUUAAGAUUGAGCAAUACAUCACAUUAUUUUUUUUUAAAUAUUAUUUUUUUUCUGCUUUAUUUCCCGAAAUCCCCCUUGUACAUAGUUGUAUAGCUUAGUUGUGGGUCCUUCUAGUUUUGGCAUGUGGGACGCUGCCUCAACAUGGCCUGAUGAGCAGUGCCAUGUCCACGCCCAGGAUCCGAACCGGCAAAACCUUGGGGCACUGCAGCGGAGCCCGUGAACUUAACCACUCAGCCACGGAGCCAGCCCCGUUCAUGUUGUUUUAAUUUGUAUCAUACUUACUCAUGUUGGCCAUGUUAUGAACACUGAGCAGAAUGCCAGGAACGGGGUAUGUGAACGCGGCAGGCAGGCCCUGCCUUCACUGUGCAGGUGUUUCCCUGAUUACUUCUGAGCAUGUGUGUCUUCACUGGUUUGUCGGCCAGCCAAGUUUCUUCUGAUGUGAAUUACCAAUUCAUAGCCUUCCUCCACUUUUCUAUCAGGUUUUUAGUCAUUUUAUUAUUGAUUUGGAGUUAAAAAAUAUUUUGUUUUUUUGUUUAUGUUGCAAAUGUUUUCCUCCAGUAUUUUUCUUAUCUUUUAUCUCUGUUCAUAGUAUCUUUUCUCACAUUUAAGUUUAAUUUGUUAAACUUAUCAGUUAUUUCUGUAGUGAUCUGGGUGCUUUUUGUGUUUUGUUUAAGAAAUCAUUUUAGGGGCCGGCCCCAUGGCCGAGUGGUUAAGUUUGCAUGCUCCACUUCGGCGGCCCAGGGUUUCGCAGGUUCAAGUCCUGGGCGCAGACAUGGCACCACUCAUCAGGCCAUGUUGAGGUGGCAUCCCACAUGCCACGACUGGAAGGACCCACAACUGAAAAUACACAACCAUGUACUGGGGGGCCUUGGAGAGAAAAAGGAAAAAUAAAAUCUUUAAAAAAAUAUAUCAUUUAAAAAAAUAAAAAUCUUUAAAAAAACCCAAAAAAGUGGGGCUGGCCCCAUGGCCGAGUGGUUAAUUUCGCACGUUCCGCUGCAGGCAGCCCAGUGUUUCGUUGGUUCGAAUCCUGGGCGUGGACAUGGCACUGCUCAUCAAACCACGCUGAAGCAGCGUCCCACAUGCCACAACUAGAAGGACCCACAAUGAAGAAUAUACAACUAUGUACCGGGGGGCUUUGGGGAGUAAAAGGAAAAAAUAAUCUUUAGAAUAUAUAUAUAUAUCUCAUUAAAAACAUCCUGGUAUUUAAAAAAUCUGUAAUUUAGUUUUGAGUGUGUGAGGUGAGAAUCUAUUUUCCUUCCAUAUGGGAAGCCAAUUGUUCCAACAUUUAGUGAAAGGCUACGUUGUCUUCCCUGAUUGUCUUCACAUGCACCAAAUUCCAAAGGGUUUGUUUCUAGAUUGGUCUAGUUGUCCACCUCCUGCACCAAUACCACACUGUUUUAAUAUUAUGUAACUUAACAAUGUUUUUACCCAGUAAAGCAAGCCUUCCCUACUUGUCAUGUUUUUCCAAAUUGUCAUAGCAAUUCUUGGACUCUCCCACAUGCAUUUUAGAUUCAUUUUUUUGGAUUAUGUAUAUUUAAAAAAAGACGCUAUGGGAUUUUUUUUUUUUUUUGAGGAAGAUUAGCCCUGAGCUAACACCUGUGCCCAUCUUCCUCUACUUUUUUAUAUGUAGGAUGCCUGCCACAGCACGGGUCCACAAACGGUGUGUAGAUGCGUACCCAGGAUCCAAACUGGCGAACCCCAGGCCACCGAAGCAGAAUGUGCAACCUUAACUGCUGUGCCACUGGGCUGGUCCCAACCCUACGGGAUUUUUAACUGGAGUUGCACUUAAUUUAUAGGUUGACUUGGAGAGAAUGGACAUAUUUAAUAUUGCAUCUUCUGAUCCAUGAACAUACUAUAUGGCUCCAGAGAGUCAGGUCUUUUAUGCGCAUUCCUUGCUGUGACACUUGCAGACUGUCAUUUAAGGCUGCCAAUGAUUUCAUUGUACAGGAAGUACUGUAAUCAUUUUAGUGAAAUUCCUAUAACUUAACACUUAGGGUUGUCCUUUCUUCCCCCGUCACAAACAACACCUGCAGUGUACACAGACCUUUGCACCCUUUGUUCUGAUCCCUUUAUUUCCUUAACAAAUGAGUGCGAGUGUGCCAUGCCACUUCUUUCUCUCUGGCCUGACAAUCACAAACAGACAUACUUACAUAAUAUGUAGAAUUUGUUUGUUUCUCCCAAAAUUGGACCACAGAAUAUCAUAUCUUAAGGGAACCUCUCUAACUCAUUAGAUCUAGACCGAGUCCUUUUAAAUGCUGCGUGACAUUCCAAGGUGCAGCUGUCCGCCAAUUAAACAGCCAUUCCUAUAAAGGUGGCAUUCAGGUUUUUGUUUUUUUUUUUUUGAAGAUUUUAGUUUUCCUUUUUCUCCCCAAAGUCCCCUGGUACAUAGUUGUAUAUUUUUAGUUGUGGGUCCUUCUAGUUGUGGUAUGUGGGAUGCCACCUCAGCAUGGCUCGAUGAGCAGUGCCAUGUCCAUGCCCAGGAUUCGAACCUGCGAAUCCCUGGGCCACUGAAGCAAAGCUCGCGAACUUCACCACUCAGCCAGGGGGCCGGUCCCCCAGGUGUUUUUCUUUUUUAAGUUGGGUCUUUUCUUGCUUCUAAACCAGGUCGCAGUAAGAUCCCUGAAUACAUCCUUUUGUACUGAUGUAUUUCAAUAGGAUACAGUCCAAGAAAUGUUGCUAGAUUGGAGAGUCAGUUAACCUAAAAAUGUUAACAGGUACCACCAGUUUGCUUUCCCAAAGGCUGCAGCAGGUCACAGUCCACUGUCAAUGCCAGCAAGGAGUUUUGCUGCCAUUACAAUUUUCUGCCACCUGGUCAGGUAGAGUCACAGCUCAUGGCCACUUUAAAUCCCAUGUCUAGGCUUCAAGUGACAGGGACAUUGGUUGUUCCUCCUUGUGACUUGUCCAUUUGUGUUUUGCCAAUUUUCUUUGAACAUUUGCUUUGUUCUUAUCAAUUUAUGGGAGUUCUUUAUCUUUUUUUGGAUAUUAACCGUGGUGUAUGUACAGAUUUGUCGCAGACUCUUUUGAUCUGGUUUAUGUAUCUCUUUGCUAUACAGAAAUCAGAGUUUAUGUAGUCACAUGAGAUUAUCCCCGCUUCAUAAAAUAACUAGAUGGAUUUCUGUAUCCCUUGGGCUUCUGUUGUAGAAAAUGUAUUUCUACUAGAUUUUUAAAUGUGUUGCCAUAGAGUUGCUC